rnacentral:rRNA from 1 species
GACGAACGCUGGCGGCGUGCUUAACACAUGCAAGUCGAACGGAAAGGCCCUGCUUUUGUGGGGUGCUCGAGUGGCGAACGGGUGAGUAACACGUGAGUAACCUGCCCUUGACUUCGGGAUAACUUCAGGAAACUGGGGCUAAUACCGGAUAGGAGCUCCUGCUGCAUGGUGGGGGUUGGAAAGUUUCGGCGGUUGGGGAUGGACUCGCGGCUUAUCAGCUUGUUGGUGGGGUAGUGGCUUACCAAGGCUUUGACGGGUAGCCGGCCUGAGAGGGUGACCGGCCACAUUGGGACUGAGAUACGGCCCAGACUCCUACGGGAGGCAGCAGUGGAGAAUAUUGCACAAUGGGCGGAAGCCUGAUGCAGCAACGCCGCGUGCGGGAUGACGGCCUUCGGGUUGUAAACCGCUUUCGCCUGUGACGAAGCGUGAGUGACGGUAAUGGGUAAAGAAGCACCGGCUAACUACGUGCCAGCAGCCGCGGUGAUACGUAGGGUGCGAGCGUUGUCCGGAUUUAUUGGGCGUAAAGGGCUCGUAGGUGGUUGAUCGCGUCGGAAGUGUAAUCUUGGGGCUUAACCCUGAGCGUGCUUUCGAUACGGGUUGACUUGAGGAAGGUAGGGGAGAAUGGAAUUCCUGGUGGAGCGGUGGAAUGCGCAGAUAUCAGGAGGAACACCAGUGGCGAAGGCGGUUCUCUGGGCCUUUCCUGACGCUGAGGAGCGAAAGCGUGGGGAGCGAACAGGCUUAGAUACCCUGGUAGUCCACGCUGUAAACGGUGGGUACUAGGUGUGGGGUCCAUUCCACGGGUUCCGUGCCGUAGCUAACGCUUUAAGUACCCCGCCUGGGGAGUACGGCCGCAAGGCUAAAACUCAAAGGAAUUGACGGGGCCCCGCACAAGCGGCGGAGCAUGCGGAUUAAUUCGAUGCAACGCGUAGAACCUUACCUGGGUUUGACAUGGAUCGGGAGUGCUCAGAGAUGGGUGUGCCUCUUUUGGGGUCGGUUCACAGGUGGUGCAUGGCUGUCGUCAGCUCGUGUCGUGAGAUGUUGGGUUAAGUCCCGCAACGAGCGCAACCCUUGUUCACUGUUGCCAGCACGUUAUGGUGGGGACUCAGUGGAGACCGCCGGGGUCAACUCGGAGGAAGGUGGGGAUGACGUCAAGUCAUCAUGCCCCUUAUGUCCAGGGCUUCACGCAUGCUACAAUGGCUGGUACAGAGAGUGGCGAGCCUGUGAGGGUGAGCGAAUCUCGGAAAGCCGGUCUCAGUUCGGAUUGGGGUCUGCAACUCGACCUCAUGAAGUCGGAGUCGCUAGUAAUCGCAGAUCAGCAACGCUGCGGUGAAAACGUUCCCGGG